rnacentral:tRNA from 1 species
AAUGGGGUGCCUGAAAAUAGGAUUAUCUUGAUAGGAUAAAGCAUGUAAAAAAUUUACCUUCAUUA